AUUGAACGCUGGCGGCAUGCUUUACACAUGCAAGUCGAACGGUAACAGGCCGCAAGGUGCUGACGAGUGGCGAACGGGUGAGUAAUGCAUCGGAACGUGCCCAGUCGUGGGGGAUAACGCAGCGAAAGCUGUGCUAAUACCGCAUACGAUCUAUGGAUGAAAGCGGGGGAACGUAAGGCCUCGCGCGAUGGUAGCGGCCGAUGUCGGAUUAAGUAGUUGGUGGGGUAAAGGCCUACCAAGUCGACGAUCUGUAGCUGGUCUGAGAGGACGACCAGCCAAAAUGGGAGUGAGACACGGCCCAGACUCCUACGGGAGGCAGCAGUGGGGAAUUUUGGACAAUGGGCGCAAGCCUGAUCCAGCAAUGCCGCGUGCAGGAAGAAGGCCUUCGGGUUGUAAACUGCUUUUGUACGGAACGAAACGGUCUGGGUUAAUACCCUGGGCUAAUGACGGUACCGUAAGAAUAAGCACCGGCUAACUUCGUGCCAGCAGCCGCGGUAACAC
rnacentral:rRNA from 1 species